rnacentral:lncRNA from 13 species
UUGCAGCAAUUGUCUGGCAUUGGGCUGACUCUGGAGCAUCUAAGAUGAUCUGUUGUUGAUAUGGAAAAAUAUACGGUGUGACGGACUCCUUCAGGCAGACACAGCAGGGUAGAGGAAUGUAACCACCACUUUGGCCGAGUGUUGAGUUAUAAAGCUUCAGGUUCAUGACCAAAAAGAAAACCUAAAGGGCUUCGUGAAGACUUCUGUCAAGGUCCUAGCUACCAACGGUAAUCAUGGUGCGUUUGCAGUAAACUGUGAGGUGGUGUGUUGGUUU